CGAUAAUCUGAAAGUAGAAAGUGUACAAGUGAGUACAUGAUCUUCUCUUACAUUUUGCUUUGAACUGCAUUCUGUAGGCAUUAGACAGGCAUAUGCAACAGAGAGCCACACUAACUUUUAAUAACCAAGAGUUGGGACAUUAUUAUGUCUAUUUUAUGAAAAUUGUCACUGGCAGUAUAGAAUUAUUAAUCUGGAGUUUGCUAGUUAGAAGCUAAUUCAACCAUAUUUUAUAAAUGUUGACCAGAUAAGCUUGCUACUAUGCAUGCUCGCACUGCGCAUGAACAAACUUCUUCAUAUCACAGCUGAAGGUUUAGGUUUUGUUUUCUGAAUGGGACAGCUAUAUGACUUGACCAUGGUGGAUGAUCUGUGCCGCACCUGUGGAUAUGAAACUUCUUUAAUACAUCAACCACUUAGAUGAUUCUAGGAUACAUGAGCCAAGUCUCCAGAGGGAACAUUCUGUCUAUUCCUCGUAGUUACGCAUAAAAUCUUGCUUCCUUAUGUGAACCAAGCGAAGGAACCAGUGGCUGGCAAUUUCCUGGAAAGACCGAUGAAGAAGGAUAUUGGCUUCCGUUGGAAAAAGGGAACACGGUUGGUUAGUGUGUGACACUGUAGGUGUAGCACGUCCUUUUCUUUUCGUGUCAUUAGUUAGCAAAUAUGUGGCUGUUCUUGCAUGGAAAAUUUGGAAGAAAUCCACCAAGGAGUUAACAAAUACAGUAUGUUUUUUGAAGGGGAAGCUGAGACUGAGUUAUCAGGUGCGUCCCAGUGUACUGUAUGUAACGGAUGAAGGGGAGUGAUGGGCUGUUGCCUGUUGGGGUGCCAACUGUUGUUCCCGCAAAACAAAAAAUAUAUACUGCUGCUAUUCAAAGAUUUAAGAUCCGAGUUCGAUUAUGUAUUCGUUUGUUUUUCUCUUCUGAAGAGUCAUAUCACCGUAUGGUGUAUUUGCAUGUAAGUAUGAAACACUGGUGUACUAAUUGGCUAGAUGGGGUGAAGUAUAGUGGUAAAACAAAUGAAGAUGAAAAAAAAUGUUCUUUUAUUUA